UACGGAGGGGGCUAGCGUUGUUCGGAAUUACUGGGCGUAAAGCGCGUGUAGGCGGCUUUGCAAGUCGGAUGUGAAAGCCCACGGCUCAACCGUGGAAGUGCAUCCGAAACUGCAUGGCUCGAGUCUCGGAGAGGAAGGUGGAAUGCUUGGUGUAGAGGUGAAAUUCGUAGAUAUCAAGCAGAACACCUGCGGCGAAGGCGGCCUUCUGGACGAUGACUGACGCUGAGACGCGAAAGCGUGGGGAGCAAACAGG
rnacentral:rRNA from 1 species